AAGCAAGCUCUCUAUUGGGAUAUAUAAACAGACAUAAACUGGCAGUUCUCUAAGUGUGGUCUGAUGACCACUGGUGGCCCUUAAAGAUCCUCCAGGUGGCCUUUGGGCUUGUCUCGUAAUUUUGGUACUUAAGUAUAACCGGCUUUUAUACUUUCUCUGUAGUCUAGAAUAAAUGGCUUUAUAACUCUCAUUAAUGUCUCUUUAAAAACAGCAUCUCUAAAUCAUUUUGGUCAGGAUAUGUGGUCUAUGAUGCCCUGUGCCAACAGGAAAUGGUCUGUGAGCCAGAAAUACAGAAGAUGCCCUGGAAUCACAUGGAUGGACACUUUAGCCUCAUAUUCAUUAAGGAAGAAGAGUCAUUGGAUUGAGUGCUCCUUGGAUGUACUGGUUCUCAAAAGAUAAUAAAGCCUUCAGACUUUGAUGACCAGAUGCUGCUGGCACCUGACUAUAAGCUUGACACAUAGAGCAUGAUGGGAUGAAGAGGAACAUUUGGAAAGUAUAUCAUAUUUGUUGGCAACACCAAGAUAUCAGAGGUAGGAAUGAUAGAGGUUUUUAUAUUAACAGCAUAGCUUAUAGGUCCUCUUAUCCCAGUAUCCAGUAAUUUGCACCACUGGACCAAGGGAGCCUUUCAUCUGAUUCCAAAAUGAAGCCAUCUCUAGGGGAAGUCUAGCAGCUAUUUUUACGGCUCACAAUUGGAUGGAAAACGUAUUAAGUAUUAGAGGAAAUUAAGUGUAUCUGCUUAAUAUUUUCUCAGGAGUUCAGAGCACAAGAUUAUCUAAACAGGGGCCUCUUUAAGCCUCUAUGUUAAAAACUUUGGAAUUUCAAACGCCGUAAAUCAUUCCAGUGGGCUUCCACUUGUGGUCUCCUAUAAUAUUGGACUGUUGGAGCUGCGUCGUCCUGAAUCAGCAUUCUUCCAGCUGGGAUGGAAGCAUUAGUUUGAAAGUGUGCCUUUUUGACAUUACCUGGAUUGGUUUGAAACUCACCUCCCCACCUCCCUGUCCUCCCAUCUCUUUUCCAUCCAUCAUCAUCAUGGAUAGCGGAUUCUGCUACUGCCCCACCCCGAAUGCCUUUGCCAGGUGAUGCAUCCAUCCUUCAGGUAUUUGGGGUUCUUCCUGGAGAAUUGUCAGUAGUUGAUGGGAGCUACCUGCUGGGGCUGUGACAGUGUCACCCUUCCCCUCACCCUCCUAUUUGGCCAAUGAUUGACAGGUUUAGAUAUAUAAAAUUCUUGAGGGGCUCCUCUGGUGGCUCAGUGGCAAAGAAUCUGUCUGCCAAUGCAGGAAACAUGGGUUCAGUCCCUGGUCUGGGAAGAUCCCACAUGCUGUGGAACAAGUACUGAGUUGCUCUAGAGCCUGGGAGCUGCAACGACUGAGCCCAUGUGCUACAACUACUGGAGAGUACAUGCCCUAGGGCCCAUGCUCCACGACAAGAGAAGCUUUUUCCUAAUAAGGUUUGGAAAGGUUUUCCUUUUCUGUAACAAGUCACGUAUAUCUGAAGCCCUGUCAUAGACUUAGUUUUUUAGGGUCUCCUACCCAAGGCAUGGAUUUCCCAGUGCACAAGUGGUAAAGAACCCGCCUGCCAAUGCAGGAGACUUAAGAGACUUGGGUUGGAUCCCUAGGUUCGGAAGAUCCCCUGGAGAAGGAAAUGGUAACCCACUCCAAUAUUCUUGCCCUGAGAAUUCCCAUGGACAGAGGAACCUGGAGGGCCACAGUCCAUGGGGUCACAAAGAGUCAGAUAUAACUAAAGUGACUUAGUAUAGCACAGCACCCAAGGCACGCUGAUUAUCAACAAUGAUAUCCAUAUGAUGAGAUAAUUCCAAGAGCAAUUCUAUUGAGUCAAAAGCAUGAGAAAAGUCCCUAUCAAGGUUUAUACAGAAAGACAAAUGGAGAAGUUGGGCGGUUAUCAGUCAGCCCCAGCAUCUAAAGAAACCAAAAUUUAAGGUAAGACUGUAAGAAAAAAGAACUCAUCAGUGAUAGGUUACUUGAAAGAUUUUAAAGAAUCUGGUGGAGACUACAGAGACAGAUAAAAAAUGUUGGAUUACAAAAAUGCUAACACAUAUGAAUGAAAAAACUCUGGAAACAUAGAGAAGUAGAAAAAUAAUAUCAGAAUCACCUGGAAUCCUACUAUCCAGAUAUAAUUAUUUUAGAUAUAUUUCAUUACAGUUUCUUUCUAUCAUUUAUCUAUGUUUGUAUUUUAUUCAUAUGUAUUAAUUUACAUACAUUUAUGCAUUGGGAAUUGCUACGUAUACAAUUUAAUAUCCUGU
ensembl:lincRNA